rnacentral:rRNA from 1 species
GACGAACGCUGGCGGCGUGCUUAACACAUGCAAGUCGAACGGACAGGCCCUGCUCUUGCGGGGUGCUCGUUUGGCGAACGGGUGAGUAACACGUGUGUAACCCGCCCUUGUAUGUGGGAUAACUUCAGGAAACUGGGGCUAUUACCGGAUAGGAUCUUCUGAUCCAUGGUGGGGGUAGGAAAGUUUCGGCGGUUGGGGCUCGAUUCGCUGGUUAUCAGCUUGUUGGUCGGGUAGUGGCUGACCAGGUGUUCGACGGGUAGCCGGCAUGGGAGAGUGGCCGGCGACAUGGGGCCUGAGAGACGGCCCAGUCUCCAACGGGAGGCAGUAGGCGGGAGCCUUGCGCAGUGGGGCGAAGCGUGUUGCGGCAACGUCGCGUGCGGAAUGACCGCCUUCGGGUUGUAAACCGCUUUCGCAGGAGACGAGGAGUGCGUGACGGUAAUGAGUAAAAAAGCACCGGCUAACUACGUG